UUGAACUGAAGAGUUUGAUCAUGGCUCAGAUUGAACGCUGGCGGCAGGCCUAACACAUGCAAGUCGAGCGGAAACGAUCCUAGCUUGCUAGGAGGCGUCGAGCGGCGGACGGGUGAGUAACGCGUGAGAAUCUACCCAUGAGUGGGGGACAACCCGGGGAAACUCGGGCUAAUACCGCAUACGCCCUACGGGGUAAAGCAGGGGACCUUCGGGCCUUGCGCUGAUGGAUGAGCUCGCGUCGGAUUAGCUUGUUGGUGAGGUAAAGGCUCACC
rnacentral:rRNA from 1 species